UACGAAGGGUGCAAACGUUGCUCGGAAUUAUUGGGCGUAAAGCGCACGUAGGCGGCUCUGCAAGUCGGAUGUGAAAUCCCUCGGCUCAACCAAGGAAGUGCAUCCGAAACUGCGGAGCUUGAGUACUUAAGAGGAUCGCGGAAUUCCCAGUGUAGAGGUGAAAUUCGUAGAUAUUGGGAAGAACACCAGUGGCGAAGGCGGCUAACUGGUCCAGCACUGACGCUGAGGUGCGAAAGCGUGGGGAGCAAACAGG
rnacentral:rRNA from 1 species